rnacentral:rRNA from 1 species
AAAUGAAGUGUGGAUGCACUGACAGCCAGGAGGUUGGCUUAGAAGCAGCCAUUCCUUCAAAGAGUGCGUAACAGCUCACUGGUCGAGCAUUCAUGCGCAGACAAUGUAACGGGGCUAAGCAUAAAUACCGAAGCCAUGGACUCAUAUCUUAGGAUAUGAUUGGUAGGGGAGCAUUCCAUUAACUGAAGAAGGAAUACCCGCGAGGGGUUCUGGAGGAGAUGGAAGAGAGAAUGCAGGUAUAAGUAACGAAAAGACGGGUGGGAUUCCCGUCCGCCGAAAACAUAAGGGUUCCAGGGUAAAGGCAAUCUGCCCUGGGUAAGUCGGCCCCUAAGGCCAGGUCAAAGACGUAGCCAAUGGGAAAUCGGUUUAUAAUCCGAUACCUUCCACAGUUUCGAGGACAGGACGCAUGAGGUGAAAUCCGGCCGGAGAACGGUUGUUCCGGUCAAAGCGCCGAGCCGAUGAGGACCGCAGGCAAAUCCGCGGUCCGAGGUGAGGCGUUACAGCGAGCGGAGAGAAAGUCGAAGCGAAGCGGAUGUAGUCAGGGUGCCGGGAAAUACUGUCUAAGGCUAGGCUGUGGGGACCGUACCGUAAACGGACACACGUAUGUGGGAUGAGAAAUCUAAGGCGCACGAGCGACCUCGCGUUAAGGAACUCGGCAAAAUGCACACGUAACUUCGGAAGAAGUGUGGCUCUGAUUGUAUAAGAUUAAGAGCGGCAGAAAGCAGGCUCAGGCGACUGUUUAUCAAAAACACAGCCAUCUGCGAACCAGCUAUGAUACGUAUAUGUGCUGACACCCUCUC